rnacentral:lncRNA from 1 species
AAAGCAUCUGCCAAAAAGCCACCAAGUAGAGCAAGGAGGAAGGCUGUGCCCAUGAAAUUGGUAACAAUGUUUGCAGAGCUGGAUGGUGAAAAAUGCAUGAACUUUGAAAGAUACAGCACAAGGUUGCUUGCAUUGGCCAGGUAUGCUAGAUUCUCCAGUACCUCCACAGCUUUUCGACAAUAUAGCAAUUCUAAUCAGUAAGCCUCGUGAUUCUAGUGCUUAUUCAUAUCAGCAUGCAAAUAUAUUAUUUCUCUUAAUAUAUAAAUUCUUUUACAAUAAAGUAUGAUUGUUUGACGGUACGCAGCAGCUAAAGUUUUUACAUUAUGGUAAGCCCGUGACAAAACGGUGGAAAAUGUGCUUUAGUAAAUAGGAAAAAUAUACCGACCCAAGACAAAACAAGCAGCAAGCAUGCCACCAUGACGGCCUCUCAGGGCAGGUUUAUUCCUCCAGUCUACAUAACCUUCCCAUGUGUUUAGCUGGCAUAUCCCGUCCUACAAAAUGACCCAAGGAGGUGAUAAAACAUGCCAAGAUACGAUUAAGGGAAGAGAAACAAGAGAUAAAAGACAGAAUCCCACCAUUGUAAUAUCUAAUUUUAGAACUUUUUGUUGAACUUCGAGUUAUAGAGGACCUUAUGAAGAAUUUCCCGAACAACCUAGUUUGCUAGUAGUAUGUGGAGUCUUAUAUAUAUAGACAAUAGAUUGAGAAAUUGGGGGUCCAAUAGGCCGUAGAGAAAGGUCUAGACUUAUUGAAAAUGACUAUUCAUUUUCCUUUUAAUUUGCAAAGCUUGACAUUUUGUACACAUGAGAGAGAAAGGGAAUACUUGGUCAGAAUGAGACCUGAAACGGAAAGAGAGAAUUAAAGUUAAACAAGGAAGCAAUAGACUACUAUGAUUAAUGAGCGACAUGUGACUUGAAAUGGUAAUGCUAAUCAUGAAAAUAACUCUAAUGAAAUAAUAUAAUUUUCUCUAAAGCUAAGUAUACAGGUGUGAGAAGGUGAUUAUCCUCCAAGAUAUUGGAACUUGGUGUUGGACGAAUUCCAGGAUAAACUGUGCAAUAUGUAGUUGUCAAUGUAGAUGGAUAGCACAAAAUGAGAUAUAAAUUAAACAAAGCCAAGUUAGUGGACUAGAUUAAAUCAUAUCAUAAUGGUAUGUUCUUGUGCUUGAAGAUAGAAACUAAAUCUUUUAGCUUUUUAGAUAUGCCCCAUAUCCAUACACGAAUGUACAAUCUCUCACCCUGGUAGUGGGAACACCACUGAGUGUUAAAGGCUAGCUAAUCCCCAGAGAUCAAUAAUUUGUCUACUUACACCAUCUUUGUAUUAUCCUAAUAUGGCCUUUCCUAACAUAUAUAGAAUGAUGUAUGUUUAUUAUUUUUAUUUUUAAUAUAUAUACAAUCCUAACAUGAACCUGUAAUUCUAUUUAUCCAUUUCUUUAAUGAAAUCAAGCGCAUCAGUAAUUUUAUCAUUUGGCUCUAUUCUAUUCAUCUGAUCGUCUUUCUUUCAUGUUCUUGCUGCACAAUGAUAUUGGACUGUAUUGUUUCUUUAUGGUUAAGUACCCAUGCGGUAGACGAACUAUUGUCUUCCGCCAUUGUCCGGUAGAGUCGGUUGCCUUUGAGGGCCACCUGAAAUUCCUUAAUUCCCUUUUCAAUCAAAUAUGUGAAUAUGACAUUCCGGAUAGGUUGUUGGUCCAUGAGAUCUCCAAAUUGAGUGGCUAAUAUCCUAAUUAAGGGGUCCUACUAAACAAGCAUUUACUUCCAUUUAUUGUUACCCCGGGCCUGUAUUAGUUUUACGCUUGUGCAUGCAGAAAUGAUUAACAUUUCAGUUCAAGAGAACUCUCAUGAGAAGAAAGGAUUAACAUUUUAUUACUGCAAAGCAUAAACAAAAAAAGAUUACCAAAGGAAAAAAUAGCUGUAGGCCAAUCACCAAUGUUAUGGCAAUGUGGCACGGAAACCUUCUACAUUCAAAUAAGUAAACUCUAAAGUUCUAAACCAACAGCAUGUUGAUUGGAUAAAUGGUGCAAGUGCAUGGACCAGUUUAAUUUUGUGCUUCUUUGCUCAUACGGUGAUACUAUUGGAAUAAAUAAUGGAAUAAUUAAUCCCUUAGCUUUUCUGUUGCCCGCGGAUCAUAUUCCGGAGAGCUUAUUACCCCCACCGUAUGAUUUGAAAGUUGAGUUGAAAGUGAUUUUGUUUUCAAAGCAGGUUAUAUUCUGAUUCUUCCUUCUUCCUUCUUGCAGAUUGUAGGAUCUCCGAGAAAUUAAUUAGUGACUUUUCAUAUAGAAGAAUAUUAGAAUUUUUUCCGGAAGAAAAUUCAAUGAAUAUGUAAAAGUUACUUAGACAUGCAGC